UACGGGGGGGGCAAGCGUUGUUCGGAAUUACUGGGCGUAAAGGGCUCGUAGGCGGCCAACUAAGUCGGACGUGAAAUCCCUCGGCUUAACCGGGGAACUGCGUCCGAUACUGGAUGGCUGGAGGUUGGGAGAGGGAUGCGGAAUUCCAGGUGUAGCGGUGAAAUGCGUAGAUAUCUGGAGGAACACCCGUGGCGAAGGCGGCUCUCUGGGACGGUACUGACGCUGAGACGCGAAAGCGUGGGGAGCGAACAGG
rnacentral:rRNA from 1 species